CCGCGGCACGGAGGAGAGCUACAAUGGAUAAACUAACGGGCCACGGGAGGACCGCACUUUGAUUUAUAAUCCGUAGAGAGAUACCAUCUCUUAUGCCAUUCACGAGAGACAAGUGAAAUAAUGGUUAAGGGAUAACACAACCUCGGAAAUAAACCACCAAUUCGACAUGGAUCGUUCCAAAACAGAGGUUUGAGCAUCGACAGCGCCUUUUAGAAACCGUAUGCCUCCGCCUGCUUCGAACGGCGAAUUUGGGAUGAGAAGCAUUUAUCGUUUUCUGUACAGACACAUGUCCUCUCUUAAUAGGUAAAUAAUCUGAUUUCAUUUCCUCGGUAAAACCUAUUCUAUAUGCUAGCCAUAUGCUUCUCAUCCUUUACCGGAACCCUUACUGUUGACUUCCACGCGGAUACGCAGCCCUCCAUUGGAUGGCAAAAGAACCAGGACAAAUUUCCUCGCAUUGAAAAGUUGAUCCAGUGCCCUUGUCACUGCAGUGGCUGCCUGAGAUACACCCACAAACUCUGCAGUAUGAACAGCACAAGCUGUCUACUAUAUGUGACUGCCAGCCAUUCACACCAGGUCUGGAUUGAGCAAGGGGAAAGUGGCACAGUCGUCACAAAAAAACAGAAAGCAGGAGGGGAAGAAAAAGGCCAACCCCCUUGUCCCUCUUCCCUUAAAUCUCCAUCACCGGAAGCCUUUGGUGCCAUCUGUGCCCCUGGAGAAAAGGACGGGCGAGAUGCCUCCACCCUGUGCCAACGGGGACAAAGGAGCUGCCAGUUAGAGCGGCCCCCCUCGCAGGCAGCCAGAGGACUCUGUGUUACUGACUGGGGCUGAGCUACGGAAGCCAUCUUGAUGGAGAGUCUUGCUGCUGCUCCUAAAAUGGCUGUGUUGGCAUGAGGUCCUGCAGGUGUUGACAACCUCUAGGGGAAGACUCUUCCAUCAGCCCUGAGCCCUGAGCCCUGGGCCCUGAGCCCUGGGCCCUGGGCCCUGAACCCUGAGCCCUGGGCCCUUCCUCAUUGGCAUCCUCUCCAGUCAAACACUGAGAAAUGAGGGCACUGAAGAAUCCCCCCUAAAGUUAACAGACAAUGCUUGUAGAAAUUUACUGUAAGGACAAUGUAUGGAGAUAUUUACUGUAAGGACAAUGUAUGGAGAUAUUUGCUGUAAGGACAAUGUAUGGAGAUAUUUACUAUAAGGACAAUGUAUGGAGAUAUUUACUGUAAGGACAAUGUUUGGAGAUAUUUACUGUAAGGACAAUGUAUGGAGAUAUUUACUGUAAGGACAAUGUUUGAAGAUAUUUACUGUAAUGACAAUGUUUGGAGAUAUUUGAAGACAUUGUUUGCAGAAGUUGCGCACAGAUUAUCUGAUGAUAUAUUGCACGGCUGAGAGUGUAUAGUUUCAACAUAACUUUUAACAUUACAGCAGAAUGUAAGACAAUGUGUGUAGGAUGUGAAAUCAAAAGGGAUGAGAUCAACAUGUGUUCAUACCUUAAUUUGUGUGUGUGGUGCGUGUGUGUGCGUGUGUGAGUGUGCGUGUGCGUGUGCGUGUGUGUGUGUGAGUGUGCGUGUGUGUGUGAGUGUGCGUGUGUGUGUGUGUGUGUGCGUGUGCGUGUGUGUGUGUGUGGG